UUAACUAUUAUAUAGUACUCAGACGACAUUAAUAAACAGAGUUUGUGGUCCUCUGGCGAGCACACACCAGCGCAGGGCCGGUGGCCGAAGCGGCUCGCCAAAGCAACAAAGGUUUUAAUAACAUAGGGUUGGAGAGUCACCCGUGAGGGCGAUGUUCUCUGUAAUGAUCCCUCCGCAGGUUCACCUACGGAGA
rnacentral:misc_RNA from 1 species